rnacentral:rRNA from 1 species
CGGAAAAAGAAGAGUGGCGAACGGGUGAGUAACACGUGGGUAACCUGCCCAUCAGAAGGGGAUAACACUUGGAAACAGGUGCUAAUACCGUAUAACAAUCGAAACCGCAUGGUUUUGAUUUGAAAGGCGCUUUCGGGUGUCGCUGAUGGAUGGACCCGCGGUGCAUUAGCUAGUUGGUGAGGUAACGGCUCACCAAGGCCACGAUGCAUAGCCGACCUGAGAGGGUGAUCGGCCACAUUGGGACUGAGACACGGCCCAAACUCCUACGGGAGGCAGCAGUAGGGAAUCUUCGGCAAUGGACGAAAGUCUGACCGAGCAACGCCGCGUGAGUGAAGAAGGUUUUCGGAUCGUAAAACUCUGUUGUUAGAGAAGAACAAGGAUGAGAGUAACUGUUCAUCCCUUGACGGUAUCUAACCAGAAAGCCACGGCUAACUACGUGCCAGCAGCCGCGGUAAUACGUAGGUGGCAAGCGUUGUCCGGAUUUAUUGGGCGUAAAGCGAGCGCAGGCGGUUUCUUAAGUCUGAUGUGAAAGCCCCCGGCUCAACCGGGGAGGGUCAUUGGAAACUGGGAGACUUGAGUGCAGAAGAGGAGAGUGGAAUUCCAUGUGUAGCGGUGAAAUGCGUAGAUAUAUGGAGGAACACCAGUGGCGAAGGCGGCUCUCUGGUCUGUAACUGACGCUGAGGCUCGAAAGCGUGGGGAGCAAACAGGAUUAGAUACCCUGGUAGUCCACGCCGUAAACGAUGAGUGCUAAGUGUUGGAGGGUUUCCGCCCUUCAGUGCUGCAGCUAACGCAUUAAGCACUCCGCCUGGGGAGUACGACCGCAAGGUUGAAACUCAAAGGAAUUGACGGGGGCCCGCACAAGCGGUGGAGCAUGUGGUUUAAUUCGAAGCAACGCGAAGAACCUUACCAGGUCUUGACAUCCUUUGACCACUCUAGAGAUAGAGCUUCCCCUUCGGGGGCAAAGUGACAGGUGGUGCAUGGUUGUCGUCAGCUCGUGUCGUGAGAUGUUGGGGUUAAGUCCCGCAACGAGCGCAACCCUUAUUGUUAGUUGCCAUCAUUUAGUUGGGCACUCUAGCAAGACUGCCGGUGACAAACCGGAGGAAGGUGGGGAUGACGUCAAAUCAUCAUGCCCCUUAUGACCUGGGCUACACACGUGCUACAAUGGGAAGUACAACGAGUCGCGAAGUCGCGAGGCUAAGCUAAUCUCUUAAAGCUUCUCUCAGUUCGGAUUGUAGGCUGCAACUCGCCUACAUGAAGCCGGAAUCGCUAGUAAUCGCGGAUCAGCACGCCGCGGUGAAUACGUUCCCGGGCCUUGUACAC